AACAAACACCACCAGUCAGUUCACACUGCUUCACAUGAAAACCAUGUCUGUUUGUUUUGAACAGUAACACUGGUAUUAUUCUCUUAUUGUUUGGGUGGGAAUGAUUGACAGGGACCAUACUCUUGGAAGACUCAGGUUUAAAAACACCUGAGCUGCCUGGAACAGGGCGGAGUUUACCUCACAGGACAAAGAUGAGAAAAUAUUUGACAGUAAAUGAGUCAGAGUUUGACUAAAGCUCCAAUCACCUGUUUGUUUACAAAUCAGUUUAUGUCACUUUGAAAGUAAAUGACAGGAUUAUUUCUGUCUGUCUGCAGCAACAAGGAGACGAAGGGAAGAAAAAGUUUGACAAGUUGAACCUUUAAACACGAGUUCACUAAAUACAACAGUAGCACUUUCUGCUACUUUAUCUUCUACACCACAUUUAUCUGACAGCUGGAGCUACUUCACAGGCUGAGAUUAUACAUUAAAAAUACAAAAGUACAACUGAGUUAAACCAGCGCUUUAACUACAGGAAGUACUUUUAUUAUGACCCUUUAAUACAGGAAGUACUUUUAGUGUCAUACUUUAACUACAGGAAGUACUUUUACUGUGGUAGUUUAACUACAUAACGCUGAUAAUACUUGUGUACAUUUACUGAAGUAUGCUGUAAAUGUAGGACUUGUUGGUAACAGUAUUUGAACAUCGUUGUUUUGGUGUUUUUUACUCACAAAAGUGAUUAGAUUAAAACGAUAUGACGUCACAGCCGCUGAGAACUGUGGGAGUUUUUUCUCGUGGGAAGAAGCUAGCGUCUCGGCCUCAGAUGUGCUAACUGUUAGCUGCUCUCCUGCUCACCUCGGGUGGACUUAUCUGUGUUCAUUUGCGUUGAUGAAAAGAGAUAAACACAGACUAAUGCAGCCUGGAUGACACAGUCACGUCUCUGAAACAGGUGCAGCUGGAGCCCUGAGUUCUGACUGACAGGCGUCUGUGGAGCCGAUGCAGCAGAAUAAAACUCCCAACAAUCCACUCAGAAACCAGAGGAAACUGAGGCUGCAGAACUUCAUUCAGAACUUGAACGUUUUUAGUUUCCUUCAGUGUCAGAGACCCAGUGAGAGCUGACUGAACGUCAGUGGAGACUGACAGGAGCUCAGGGUGAGUCCUGUUUAAUAAGGCUCAGUGGAGUCGUAUUUAACUGAUCUCCCUUCAGACAGUGAAGUAAACAGCAGAGACAGACUGCAGCUCAGGUCCCAGCAUCAGGUCUUAUUAAACUAAGCUUUAGGAUCAGCUCUCUGCUUUCAUUGGCUUUAAAAGUCCAUGUUUUUAUUUUCCUCACCUGGGGACAGAGCAAGUAAAACAUCCUGAUGAUGAUCAAACCUUCCAGCUCAUAUUAUAAAGGAAGAAUCCAGAGAACAUGUGACAGCAACACUUCACUGAAUUUAUCCACUUUUACCACAACUGUCAACAAACGAAUCAGAGGUUAAACUCCUGACCGUUAACCAGACUACACUUUAUCUCCUUCACUACAGUACAUCUCUGUAGGAAAGACCUAAUGUUUCAUUUUAUUCACUAACAUUAAAACUUCUGUUUCCAACUUUUGAAUUCAACAGUAGCGUCUGAAAUCACCUCCUUUUUUACACAGAUGAUGAUGAUGAUGAUGAUGAUGGUGAUGAUGGUGAUGAUGAUGAUGAUGAUGGUGAUGAUGAUGAUGAUGGUGAUGAUGAUGAUGGUGAUGAUGGUGAUGAUGAUGAUGAUGGUGGUGAUGGUGAUGAUGGUGAUGG